rnacentral:rRNA from 1 species
UAAUACGGAGGGUGCAAGCGUUAUCCGGAUUCACUGGGUUUAAAGGGUGCGUAGGUGGGUUGAUAAGUCAGUGGUGAAAUCCCCGAGCUUAACUUGGGAACUGCCAUUGAUACUAUUGAUCUUGAAUACCGUGGAGGUCAGCGGAAUAUGUCAUGUAGCGGUGAAAUGCUUAGAUAUGACAUAGAACACCAAUUGCGAAGGCAGCUGGCUACGCGAAUAUUGGCACUGAUGCACGAAAGCGUGGGGAUCAAACAGGAUUAGAUACCCUGGUAGUCCACGCCCUAAACUAUGGAUACUCGACAUCAGCGAUACACUGUUGGUGUCUGAGCGAAAGCAUUAAGUAUCCCACCUGGGAAGUACGAUCGCAAGAUU